GCUACGUAUAUCAACAUAUCUUCUAAGGGCUGAACACCUUAGGUUCACCCUCUACGCAGUCACUGAACUUGACUCAAGCAUCCUCUUUCUCGUGUAACACCUUUGAUACACACGCACACUUCGUUUAUGCGAAGACGUUUGGACGUAGUCUAAGCUGGAUUACCCAACUGUCCUUGACCGCGGACACGGCUAUUCGAAUAGUUUUACACUUUGUAGAGGUUGCGCGCUGUACCCACGAGAAUCGGGAAACUUCCGUGUCAUCCGUGACUCGCGGUAUUUGUCAUACCCGAGGUAAGUGCCCGAUCAAUGCCUUUCCCAUGGCGACAGUAGACAAAGAGUCCACUCGAUUGGUACCCAACCCACAUGAUUUACAUCUUACGAGCACCAACUCUAGAUCGUAUCAUCCAUGCACGGACCAACGGUGUGCCCGGAACCUGUCAAAAUAGCAUAGUCGUCCUACCUGGCACGACCCCGUCCCAAGAGUGACCAUGUAGAUCGCAUCACUAGCAAUAUGGGCUCUUUGCUAGCACCAACCAAAGUAAUCAACAAAGCCCCGUUCCCAUAUUGGGGUAUCGUGGUCGCACAUGUAUGGUUGGGAUGGCCAGCACAUCUUAAAUCUCUCCUUGCCUUCGAAAGCACACACACACGGAACCUUUCCUG
rnacentral:lncRNA from 1 species